ACUGGGUCACGUGACAUGUGCCGGUUUCUGUCAGCAGGGUAGGCAGGCAGUACUCCGCCUCACCUCAAGCGGUCUUACGUGAACUGACAGGCGGUUUUUAUGCUCUGUCUGAACCGACUGACUAUGGAUUGUGUUUCCAGACGGAAACAUUUCUCAAAACUGGACUUCCGGUCCAAACGGAAGGAGAUACGUGACGGAAGACCAACGUCGGAGCUAAAAAGUUAGCUUCAAACUACGGGACAGAAGAGUCGUUCUUUUUUAAACGGAGUGGUCCAAACUAAAAAGACUGUCUGUGUGUCUGUCCUGUCAGAAACCACCAUUACUUUCUUUCCUUGACUUACAUUGUCAUCGUGUGAUAACGUCGGGACUAACUCGGGAUACUGUGACCUGAAACAUUAGCAAAGAAGCCUCAGCAGACGAGAGCAACGGAGACUAAACGUUAGCAACCACAAUGCUAUGAUGAGGGACACAACCAUGGACUUCAUCUAUAAGUAAAGGAUUAGCCCCUCCCCCCGGGUAAAGGAACAACACCGUUACAUUAAACUGGUGGAGAAGCAUAGAAGUCACACAGUAUUUGGCAGUGAGAGAACAGUCCUAACGUAUCCAUGCACAACAUCAACCACAGGCGAGGUCCACACUCUGAACAAACCCACUGAGAACAACACGGUAGGCAGUCCAGCAGGCAGCCCAGGACGGACUCUUUAAUUACCUGGGAGGAGAAGAGGUCACACCAUGACAGCUCCAACUAAUGACUGUAAUCUGAGCGCAGCAUCGUUUACAUUGUUAAACUCAAUAUUGUCGUACUCCAGUGGUUCCCUUUUCUUUAUGAGAUAGUAGAAAAUAACAACAAUCUCAGUGAUUAUCCUUAAUCUAAGUGGUCCGUUUAUUCAAUUCCCUUUUCUAUUAACAUCAUUAUGACCACAACUUCACACAAAUCAAUACGCAGUGCUCCAGGGAGACUAGUUCUCUGGUUACAGAAAAAUGGAAUUCACUGCUCUUUCUGAGACGUUAGCUGUAAACUCCUCGUACCUGGAAC